rnacentral:rRNA from 1 species
UACAGAGGGUGCGAGCGUUAAUCGGAAUUACUGGGCGUAAAGCGCACGUAGGCGGCUUGGUAUGUCGGGUGUGAAAUCCCCGGGCUCAACCUGGGAACUGCAUCCGAAACUGCCUUGCUCGAGUAUGGGAGAGGGAAGUGGAAUUUCCGGUGUAGCGGUGAAAUGCGUAGAUAUCGGAAGGAACAUCAGUGGCGAAGGCGGUUCUCUAGUACGGUACUGACGCUGAGACGCGAAAGCGUGGGGAGCGAACAGG